GCCUUCGUGGUGUAGUGGUUAGCACACUCGACGCGCAUUCGAGAGUUCCGUGGUUCGAGUCCGGACGAGGGCA
rfam:Stegodyphus mimosarum contig24111, whole genome shotgun sequence.